AUCCAGAAAACAAUGAUGCCUAUUUUUCCAAGCACAUAGCUGACUUUAUGGUGUGGAAACAAAAAAUCUGAGUUCUCUGGAU